rnacentral:rRNA from 1 species
GUAGGGAAUAUUGGGCAAUGGAGGCAACUCUGACCCAGCCAUGCCGCGUGCAGGAUGACGGCCCUCUGGGUUGUAAACUGCUUUUAUACGGGAAGAAAAAAUACUACGUGUAGUAUACUGACGGUACCGUAAGAAUAAGGAUCGGCUAACUCCGUGCCAGCAGCCGCGGUAAUACGGAGGAUCCAAGCGUUGUCCGGAUUUAUUGGGUUUAAAGGGUGCGUAGGCGGAUCUUUAAGUCAGUGGUGAAAGCCUGCAGCUUAACUGUAGAAUUGCCAUUGAAACUGAAGAUCUUGAAUGUGGUAAAAGUAGGCGGAAUGUAUCAUGUAGCGGUGAAAUGCUUAGAUAUGAUACAGAACACCGAUAGCGAAGGCAGCUUGCUGAACCAUUAUUGACGCUGAGGCACGAAAGCGUGGGGAGCGAACAGGAUUAGAUACCCUAGUAGUCC